GAUGAACGCUAGCGGCAGGCCUAACACAUGCAAGUCGAGGGGCAGCACGUCUUCGGAUGGUGGCGACCGGCGCACGGGUGCGUAACGCGUAUGCAACCUACCUCUUACAGUGGGAUAGCCCAGAGAAAUUUGGAUUAAUACCGCAUAGUAUACAGAUUCAGCAUUGGGACUGUAUUAAACAUUUAUGGGUAAGAGAUGGGCAUGCGUUCUAUUAGUUAGUUGGAGUGGUAACGGCACCCCAAGACAGCGAUAGAUAGGGGCCCUGAGAGGGGGAUCCCCCACACUGGUACUGAGACACGGACCAGACUCCUACGGGAGGCAGCAGUGGGGAAUAUUGCGCAAUGGGCGAAAGCCUGACGCAGCCACGCCGCGUGAGCGAUGAAGGCCUUGGGUCGUAAAGCUCUGUGGGGGAGGAAGAAAAAGACCGGUGAAGAGCCGGCCCUGACGGUAUCCCCUUAGCAAGCACCGGCUAACUCCGUGCCA
rnacentral:rRNA from 1 species